UGGAAGCAAGUUUGGGCCUUAGGCCCAAACGUAGCAAAGCCCCAACGAUCAAACGAAUGCUCAGAGGUCCACAAACCGUGAUGCAUAACACCUUUUCCAUCUUGCAGCAUCGUCUUCCUCCUCGCAAAGCUCAACUGGAUCGGAGAUGCGCUCGAAGGGAAGCAACUGGAUUGCAGAGCGACUCGUGAAGGUUUAGAGAGAAGUGUUCUUGAAACUGAAUUGCGAUUGAGGAGAGUGAGAGUUUGAGAACUUGUGAAGCUUCCUCGAAUGAAGAAAAAAGAUUGCAUUAUGGAAAGGCUUGGUUGAAUGUAAUUUCAUGUUGCGCGUUUGGAUUUGUUACACUCGAAUCGAGAUAUGCUUACUAGAAGUUAAGACUUAGCUUAAUUCUGCAAUCAGUUCUGCAAUGGUCCCUGAAUUGGUGAAGUCAGUAUAUGGUUAUUGUGAAUUGAUUUUCUUUUGCAAGGGUGAUGCAUCAGUUAUAUUGUGGAAAAUGCAGGGUGCUGAAUUCUUUUGCUAUGCAGGUGAAAGUGAAGUUGUUGUCAUGCCUUCCACAUUAUUUGGAAUUUCUUUAGAAACAAAUUUGGGAAUUUUGGAUUAAGAUUAUAGGAUUUGUUGAUUUGGUUGUAAAAAUGUGAUGAAAUUAAUGUAUUGAACAUAACAUUAUUGAAUGAAUGUUAUGAAUGGAAUUUGAAUGGAUUAUGCAUAGAAUUGAAUGUAAUAAAAAUGGAAAAUUAAUUGAAUGUUAAAAAGUUUUGAAUGACAA